rnacentral:rRNA from 1 species
UUUAACCAGAAAGCCACGGCUAACUACGUGCCAGCAGCCGCGGUAAUACGUAGGUGGCAAGCGUUGUCCGGAUUUAUUGGGCGUAAAGCGAGCGCAGGCGGUUUUUUAAGUCUGAUGUGAAAGCCUUCGGCUCAACCGAAGAAGUGCAUCGGAAACUGGGAAACUUGAGUGCAGAAGAGGACAGUGGAACUCCAUGUGUAGCGGUGAAAUGCGUAUAUAUAUGGAACAACACCAGUGGCGAAGGCGGCUGUCUGGUUCUGUAACUGACGCUGAGGCUCGAAAGUAUGGGUAGCAAACAGGAUUAGAUACCCUGGUAGUCCAUACCGUAAACGAUGAAUGCUAAGUGUUGGAGGGUUUCCGCCCUUCAGUGCUGCAGCUAACGCAUUAAGCAUUCCGCCUGGGGAGUACGGCCGCAAGGCUGAAACUCAAAGGAAUUGACGGGGGCCCGCACAAGCGGUGGAGCAUGUGGUUUAAUUCGAAGCUACGCGAAGAACCUUACCAGGUCUUGACAUACUAUGCAAAUCUAAGAGAUUAGACGUUCCCUUCGGGGACAUGGAUACAGGUGGUGCAUGGUUGUCGUCAGCUCGUGUCGUGAGAUGUUGGGUUAAGUCCCGCAACGAGCGCAACCCUUAUUAUCAGUUGCCAGCAUUAAGUUGGGCACUCUGGUGAGACUGCCGGUGACAAACCGGAGGAAGGUGGGGAUGACGUCAAAUCAUCAUGCCCCUUAUGACCUGGGCUACACACGUGCUACAAUGGAUGGUACAACGAGUUGCGAACUCGCGAGAGUAAGCUAAUCUCUUAAAGCCAUUCUCAGUUCGGAUUGUAGGCUGCAACUCGCCUACAUGAAGUCGGAAUCGCUAGUAAUCGCGGAUCAGC